AUGGAGACUUUUUCACAAUCCCAGCGGAUUCCCCAUAGCUUCAUCCCAAGGAAACUGGGCUGUUUGAAAACCAGGAGUCUCCUCUUUACUGCUGAGCAAUUGUGGAGAGAUUCACAUUGUAGAGCUACAUUCAUCAGUCUGUGUGAAGGAAAAUAAUGGAAACCACAUUUUCUUUGACCAGAAGAGGACAUGCUGAUUCUAGUGGGUUGCAAGAUCUUCUCUGACUCUCUGCAAAGACCUGAAGUUCUAUAACAUUUCAGAAUUAUCAAUCCACAUCUUCUUUUCAAAAUAUAUAUUCAAUUAUUAACGAUCUCAUCCAUUUAGGAAAGUGUGGGUGUGAUAGGUAGCUCUACCCAUUUCAUCGUUUGGCCACAUAACUUUUCAUUAUUUGAGAGCUGCCUUGGAUCCAACUCUUGGAGAAAUAUGGCAUAUACUGUCUCACACACACACACAUAAAUUUACUUUCAUGGUGUCUGUUUGUUCCUAAAUUCUGGCACUCUCUUCCUAAGAAGACUGCUCUUCUUCCUGUCUUGUUUUCCUACCAGAUAAAAACUUUUCAAAUUCUGACUGGCUUUUGUUCAUAAGACAAGUGUUUUUUAACAGGUGCUGUCAAAUCUUUAUUGAACUUUGUAAUGAAUAUGUUUUAAAUUGAUCUACAUUCUAUAGGUCCUUUAACUGAAUUUUAACAAUAGCACAUUGGUGGAUAUUUUAUUUGUAUCUAGUUCAAUUUCUGUAGUUCAAUUGCCUUGAGUCCCAACUUUGGGAAAAAGACAGAAAAUAAAGAAAUAAAAUAAUUGUAAUACAGGUUGAGAACCCCUUAUCCAAAAUGUGUUGGAGCCAGACAAAUUAUUUACAUAUUUUAUCACGGCAGCUAGAAUAGAAUAUGCAAAAAAAUGGAAAAUUGAAGAAAUACCAGCUGAAGAAGUAUCAAGCUAUUCCAAUUAAAAAGAAUGGACUGGACAUGUGUUAGAGACUAUCUAAACUCAGACAAUAGAAAAAUGUUCAUUUGAAAUAAACUAUAAAUGGUAAAGAGUUUAACUAAAGAAGAAAGAUUAAAAAGGAUCUGAAGAAAUUGGAAGUCAACAACUACCCCUGUUUGUUUAUUCCUUUUUUCCCUUAUUUUAUUUUAUAUAUAUAUAUUUUACUUUCAUAUCCCCUUCCCCAAAUGCCCCCUCUCCUUGUCUAUUCGUAUAAUCUGUUUUAAGCAAAGAAAAAAAACACGAAUUGUAUUCUUCCCCCUUAUUUUUUGUUUAUUUGUCUAAUAAAAAUAUUUUUUAAAAAACAAAAUGUGUUGGAGCCAGAACUAUUUAGGAUUUUAAAAAAAUUAGAAUACCUGUGUCUGUAUAUAUGUUUGUGAUGUGUUCCCAUAGCUUGGAGAAGGGACCCAAAUCUAAUCAGAAAAUUCAUUACUGUUUUAUAUACUUCUUAUACAAUAGCCAGAAAGUAAUUUUAUCCACAGAACUCAUAAUUCUAUGCAAGAAAGCUUGUGUGUAUUGAACCAUGAGAAAGCAAAGGUGUCGCUAUCUCAGCCAUCCAUAUGGACAAUUUUGGACUGUGGAGUAUUUUGGAUUUUGGAAUUCUAGAUAAGGGAUUCUGUAAAAUGAUCUUGGACAAACUGCAGCUAGGAAACUAUGUAGGAUCCCUUUAUCACUGUGCCCUGUAUGUGUGAAAAGAACCCUGCAGUAGCAGGAUUUCAAAUUGCAUAUCAAAAUGGAAUAGACUCCCUGUUAC
ensembl:lncRNA